UAUUAAAACUUUCAUCCAUUUUUAUAGUUAAAAAUUGGCAUGAUUGAUAAAUAAUCAAACAAUGACACAUUACGUGCCACGUGUAUCUCAUGCUUACGUACAGAAACUAAUUUUUAACAGCAAAAAUGAAUGAAAUUUUUAACG
rfam:Gossypium hirsutum cultivar TM-1 scaffold4993.1_1, whole genome shotgun sequence